rnacentral:lncRNA from 1 species
ACUCCGAUGAGGCUCCUCACGGUCUCUGGUGAUCGUUCAACAUUAAGAAGCUUCUGAAAAUAUUUUAACAGUACCUUCACAAGAUAAUGAAAAAAAUGAACAGUGAUCGAGAGAUAAAAAACCUUUUAUAGGCGGACCGACGAUCAGAAUUAAUUGGUUCCCUUGCCGAUUUGUGCCACUCGGCGUCAAUCUAAUACUCGAUC